GGGAAGACGAAAUCCAAGCCGCGCACUGUCCAUGCCUUGUCAAACCCAGCAUAAUAGCACGCGCGCUCCCAAUUCGUUUGGACUUUGGACACUGAGACGACACGGCAGCUUGAAUGGAAGAACAAGAUGAGAUCACCGCGGAGCACGUCGUCGUCGUGGGCGCCGGCCCCGCCGGACUCGCCGUGGCUCUCGGACUGCACAGGAAAGGGGUGAGGAGCGUGGUGCUGGAGUCGUCGCCGGCGCUGCGGGCGUCCGGGUACGCCAUCACGACGUGGCCAAACGCCUUCCGCGCGCUCGACGCCCUCGGGGUCGGCCACAAGCCCACAAGAUCAGGAAGCUCCACCUGCACAUCCAAAGGCUGCGUGUCUUCUCUGCCUCCACCGGAGAACUCGCACACGAGCUGGAUUUCACGCUGCAAGACAAUGGAGGACCCCAUGAGACCUGCCGCGUCACGCGUGACCUGCUGCUCCGGGCGCUGGAGGAGGAGCUGCCGGCGGGCACCAUCCGCUACUCCUCCAAGAUCGUCUCCAUCCACGACCAAGACGGCGCCGCCAAGAUCCUCCAUCUCGCCGACGGCUCGACUCUCAGAGCAAAGGUCUUGAUCGGCUGCGACGGGGUCAACUCGGUGGUGGCCAAAUGGCUGGGGCUCCCCAAGCCGUCCCACUCGGGCCGCUUGGCCACCAGAGGCCUCGCGCAUUACCCCGACGGCCACGGAUUCCAGCCCGAGUUCCUGCAGUUCAUCGGGCAUGGCUUCCGCUUCGGCUUCGUGCCCUGCGACGGCACUCGCAUCUACUGGUUCUACACGUGGUCUCCCUCCCAAAACGCAAGUGCGGACAAGGGCGUCGACGUUGAGGGCGCCGCCAAGAUGAAGCAGCACGUGCUGGCCAGGCCGAGGAGCUCCAAGGUGCCCGCGGGGGCGCUGGAGGUGGUGGAGCGGAGCCACAUGAGCGACGCGUCCGCCGCGCCGCUGCGGUUCCGAUCGCCGCUGUCGCUCCUGUUCGCGAGCAUCAGCAAGGGGAACGUGUGCGUGGCCGGCGACGCGCUGCACCCUAUGACGCCGGACCUGGGCCAGGGCGGCUGCUCGGCGCUCGAGGACGGCGUCAUCCUGGCCAGAUGCCUCGGCGACGCCGUCCUUGGUGCGGAGGCUGGCACGGAGGAGGAGAGGAUCGAGUCGGGCCUGCGCGAGUACGCCGGGAUGCGGCGGUGGCGGAGCGUCCAGCUCGUCGGAGCCGCCUACAUGGUCGGCUUCGUGCAGCAGAGUGACAAUGCGGUCGUGAGCUUUCUCAGGGAGAAGGUGCUGGCCGGAGCGCUCGCGAGAAGCCUUUUGAAAAUGGCCGACUACGACUGCGGAACACUCUGAUCGACUGAGCUUGUGACGAGUGAUGUGGUCAUUUUCAGGGCGAGAGUGCAUCGCGGUGUAGUCUGAACCAUUUUCCCGUUCCACGUCAGCCGUCGUCGGGUUUAGUUUCACACAGGCCCGCGCCAGUGGUGGUGUUUCGUUGCCUGUGGCUCUUGGGCCUGGCCCGAGGUAGAUGUUUGAUUGGUUGUCGAUCAUCCUGCCUACUGUUCGAAAUACUACAGUAACCAGAUGAUUUCUUGGCGUGUUGCGGCGGGAAUUCAAAGAUUAAUUUGAGA
rnacentral:rRNA from 1 species